CACGUAGGGUGCGAGCGUUGUCCGGAAUUAUUGGGCGGAAAGAGCUCGUAGGCGGUGUGUCGCGUCGGCCGUGAAAACCUGCAGCUUAACUGUGGGCUUGCGGUCGAUACGGGCAUCACUGGAGUUCGGCAGGGGAGACUGGAAUUCCUGGUGUAGCGGUGAAAUGCGCAGAUAUCAGGAGGAACACCGGUGGCGAAGGCGGGUCUCUGGGCCGAUACUGACGCUGAGGAGCGGAAGCGUGGGGAGCGAACAGG
rnacentral:rRNA from 1 species